rnacentral:lncRNA from 1 species
UUUGAACGAUCACGGUGUGGUUAAGAAAAUCAUGACCUUCGACAAUUUUACGCUGAACGAUUCAAUAAUUGUUCACCAAAAUUCUCUUACAGGAUCUUUUGCAUGAAGCACACGUCGAACCACCUUGGAUUGUUCUGCGCCAUAACUGUUUCAGAUCACACGGUCUACACUUGAUGCAAAUCCAGCAACACCCUGUGACGUGUCAGGUGAAUGUCGAGGCGUUCGCAGCUGUAGAAGGGGCAGUGAUGGCACUUAUCUGAGAGAUGCAGACAAUGAGAGUCAGUGGUUGUUGGGAAUUGUUGCAGGUCAACUUCCCCGUCGAUUGAGACAUCAGGCGAAGUUGAAGGCGACGUCGAGUCAUCACGGUACAAUUCAUGCUGUUCGCAAUCCGAUGUUAUUAAUACGUAGUUAAAAGCGCUGUAGCCGAAAUCGUGUCGAACCUCACGCACGAUUAACAAGAACAAUCAAAGGCCAGCAUUUCAACGGCAACGCCCAGCCUUUGCACUUCGGUCAGAAUUAGUACGAAUCACUCAGUACUCUCUUCGACGCAGUUGUAUUUGAACGACAACGACUACGACGACGAUGAUGAUAAUGAUGAUGAUGAUUGAUUGUCGUAAUCACGAGGGCAAUGAAUCUUGCGGUAGAUGCAAAUGGAUCAAAUCUUGAACAAUAUUACUCUCAACUGGAUGAUUGUAGAACAUGGAAGAAAAUGACAAUGUCGGUUACCCGGAGCGGUUCGUGGUGCCGAUUUCAACAAGUCCAAAGAAACGACGGUCCAGGGAACACUGGCUUUUAAUUAAACGACUGGAAGACCAGGGUGAAAUUGACUCCUGCUCAACGGAUCCCAGAGCUCGAAAGUGAACCGGGAACACAAUAACGUGGUGCACGAGUGAAUCUCGAGGUGAACUGGAAAUCGUAUACGUGUGUGUGUUUGUGUGCGUGUGUGUGUGUGCGCGCGCGUUCGUAUAAUUUUUUGUUUUACUUGAACAAAAGCCAACUUCAAACAAGUGCUUGCAGACGAUGAAAGGGGAAAAAGAUAACAAGGGUCAUCCGGCCGGUAGAGCCCCAGGACGAUUCAGGAUCCAUGGCAAAUAGAGAAAGUUCACGUCAAAGUCUGCGGUGCAUUUCAAACGGUUGACGCAUACGAUCUACAGAUAUUACACUGGGUGUAACUAUUCAAGGCAUUUAAAAGUGUGGUCAUGAGAGUGUGGAAUGAACAUUACACUGAAUAUAAAACCAUUUAUUGGUAACAAGAAUGCUGACAU